ensembl:lncRNA
GAAUCUGUCAGGCACCCUGCUGGGGCUGAGGACAGAAUCUCCACUCUCCUGGGGCUGAUCUGUCAGGGGAGGUGGACAACUUCUGAUGGACCACGAAGAUCAAAGAGGGUGACGCGAACAACCGAAGGAGUGGAGGUGAGGGAAGCCGCUCUGAGAGGUGAGCCCAGGCCAUGAGGAGGACAGAAGAGGCAUGGAAAGCUCUCCAGGCACAGCAGACUCCCGUCCACAUGUCCCCAGGUUGCCCUGGGGUAGACCGGAGCAGGCUGGGACAGAGAUCAGUGGCCCGCAAAGGGGAAAAGAACACGCUGCUCACCACUGCCCAGACCCUCCACAGCCCACAGGAGCCUUCCUCAGAGGCCUUCUCUGCUCAGCCAAGAUCCAAAAGCAGCCACCAUUGCUCCCUUCGCGUCCCCCUGGCCCUGAUUUCUUAUUUUUCAAAAUCUUCAUCGCCUGCCGACAUGAUGCAAUAUAAUUACUUCCUUACUGUUUGGCUCCCCGGGGUCUGUAAGCUCCAUGAGAGCAGGAAUUUUGUCCCUUCUACUCUGCCAUGUCCCCAUAGCAUCCUGCCUGCCACAUCGUAGGUGCUCAAAAAGCAAAAAAGGUCAUUGAAUGAACGCAGGUGUCCGGAGAGGAAUCGUAACAACAUGCACCUGCCAGGAACGCCGCAAGGACGGAGAUCAAGCCCGCAAGGAGCCGGAACCGCGCCUGGCACCCGGCAGGCACGGAAUAAAUAACCACCAUUAUUCUCACCAUCGUCGUGGCUGUUGGGCGGGUUUUUGAGACAGAGCUUGACUACCACCUCUGUCUGGUCCCAGCCGGGGUGGGGGGCCCUGGACAAGUCACUGGACGCCCAUCCUUCAAGGUCCCUGUCUGUUCCACCGGCCGGAAGCGUCCGCUCGCAGCAGGCUGAGGUUCCGGGUGCGGCGUGAGGGCGGACCCCACGCGAGCUCUCUAUUAUACGACUGCAGCGGCGGGGUCUCACACGUCCCCGCCUCCUGUCCCGGAAGCCGAGGCCCAAUGAGGGGAAGCUGGCAGCCACGCGCCUUUGCAGGACGCUGUGGCCAAGCCGGGCCGCACCUAGCUGAGCCGAGGGCCUGAGACGGCCGCACACGAGCCCGGGAGGCCACUUCCGCUUCCAGUCCUCCUCCUCGCUGGGCACCAGCACAGGGCCGCCCCGGGAGGAGGCAGAGGCAGGACCACUUCACUAACUGAGGCCUGAGGCCGCGGUGUGUCCAUUUCCCACACAGGGAAACUGAGUGCCAGUGAGGGCCUGGCCGGCUGGGGGCCGCGGGUCAAUCACGGGCCGGGCCGGGCCGCGAAGAGGGCCUGGGGACUCUUCCUUCUUCUUUCUCGGUCAUCAUGAGGGAUCCCCGCGCCCAUUUCCCACAGGAGGAAACUGAGGCCCGGCGUCGUGACUGACGUCUGGCCGGGGACAGAGGUCCAAGCCUUCGAGGCCGUGCUGACUGGUGUUUGAACCUCAGCAACCCAGGACACAGGUCACAGGUCAUUCUCAGCACAAAAUGGCGCCUCGUAGAAAAAUUUAGAUCGAUCCCCAGCGCCCAACCCCACCAC